UACGUAGGGUGCGAGCGUUAAUCGGAAUUACUGGGCGUAAAGUGUGCGCAGGCGGCGCCGCAAGUCGAGUGUGAAAUCCCCGAGCUUAACUUGGGAAUUGCGCUCGAAACUACGACGCUGGAGUAUGGCAGAGGAAGGUGGAAUUCCACGUGUAGCGGUGAAAUGCGUAGAGGUGUGGAGGAACACCGAUGGCGAAGGCAGCCUUCUGGGCCAAUACUGACGCUCAUGCACGAAAGCGUGGGGAGCAAACAGG
rnacentral:rRNA from 1 species